rnacentral:rRNA from 1 species
GACGAACGCUGGCGGCGUGCUUAACACAUGCAAGUCGAACGGAAAGGCCCCUUUGGGGGUCCUCGAGUGGCGAACGGGUGCGUAACACGUGAGUAACCUGCCCUUGACUUCGGGAUAACUUCAGGAAACUGGGGCUAAUACCGGAUAGGAAUCCUUGCUGCAUGGUGGGGGUUGGAAAGCUUCGGCGGUUUUGGAUGGACUCGCGGCUUAUCAGCUUGUUGGUGGGGUAGUGGCUUACCAAGGCUUUGACGGGUAGCCGGCCUGAGAGGGCGACCGGCCACAUUGGGACUGAGAUACGGCCCAGACUCCUACGGGAGGCAGCAGUGGGGAAUAUUGCACAAUGGGCGGAAGCCUGAUGCAGCAACGCCGCGGGCGGGAUGACUGCCUUCGGGUUGUAAACCGAUUUCAGCAGGGGCGAAGCUUGUGGUGACGGUACCUGCAGAAUAAGCACCGGCUAACUACGUG